rnacentral:lncRNA from 1 species
CAACGAUCAGGUCAUGCCACGUCCACUGCAUCAUGAUGUGCAUGACAGGAAAUAAAGCAUGACUCUGACCGAGCACCACAUGGGUCUUAUCGGCGAGAAGAACACCAAUUCGUGAUUAGACUUCACUUUGCAGUAGGAGUGAGAGGUCCGUGGGGUAUGACCCAGCGGAGAAGCUCUCAAAGUCAACCUAAGAAUUCCCAUAGCAUUAGCCGGCUGUCCUCUGCUCAUGGCAGAGAAACCAGGAUGGGUAGUGACAGAAGGGUCUGCUCCACUCCCCUUGAGGAGAGAGAUGCGAAUAUAGCAAUGCCAUGGUCAUAUGCCCACAGUAGAUGCAUGACUCAUCCACGAGCACUGCUUCAGCAUGCUGAAGGUCCAUACACUGAAGACAGCAAUAAUGGCCAUUGACAGAGGACAGAAACCAACCACAUCCAGAAGGACACAUACGAAACAGCAUCUUGAAAAAGAUGCAAAUCGUCCUUGAUUUGCCUUUUCAGAGGAAACUGUUCUGUUAGCUGAAGCGCCCAGGGUAAUUGCCGAUGACAGGGACACCGCUGUAACACUAUAACAACAACCAAGAACAGCCCUCCGAAAAUAUGAAGAGUGGAUGCACCUGUCGCCUAUUUAUACCCGUAUGCACGGGGAGUGGCUCAGACAAACAACAACUACAACAACAUGAAGGCGACAAGAUGUUUAAAGCUGGUUUCCACCUUCUACAGCUUCCUCUUUUUGGGUGGGUGUGCGACUGCAGGAUUCGGUAUAUGGUCACAAAUAACCAAAAAACCAUAUGAAGUAUUACAAACCGUCGAUGGCACCAAGAUGCUGACGAUUGGGACCCCAAUACUGAUUGCUGUGGGCUGCAUCUUCAUUCUGAUGGGUUUGAUUGGCUUUUGUGGCACUUUGAAGAAAAAAAGCUGGAUGCUCUUGGUCUUCUUCGUCAUUGUACUUAUCAUCUUCAUCCUCCAGGUCAUCGCAGCAGUGUUUAUCCUCCUCCCAAAAUC